AAUUCGGAAUUCACACCAGAAAUAUGUGUGUAUCAUCAUCACCUGAAGUUUGACCUCCAAUCGCGCAGAUUAAAAGAAUUUGUUUGGAACUUUAAUUUUGUGCUUGAUUUCAGGACCAUCUGCAAGUCAGUACUAAAAUUCUUGGACUGCUCUCAACGUAAAAUCACUGCAUAGUUAUAUAUCAGAUAAUCAGAUUUCAUCUAGUUGGAUACGUCAAUUUUAUAAUCUGUGGACCUGUUGCAACUGUCAUCUUUAGUCGUAAGCGAUAUCGUACCACUUGCCUGCGAAUAACACCAGGCAUUCUUGUACGAAUAUAAAUAAUUUUUUUAAACAAGUUGUAUGUUCACAGAAAUUUUAGCGUGACAGACUUCCAUCUUUAGUACAGUCUGAUUCCGAGAUUUUGAGGAUAUAGUUAGGGAAACGUAUACCAAAAAAGAUAAGCCAAACACUCCAGAACUUGUUAAACCGUGAUUAAUUGCCUAUCACUACGUAUUAAUAGGUCUAUCAUUGCAGACAGAUAAAUUUAGUCUGCUAACAUUUAAAUAGCUCUCCUUUGACUAUCCCCAUUUACAAAUCAAGCGAAU